AUAUUUUCUCCCCAAGCUGGACCUGACCGUCAUGUAUCGGUCCAAAAUAGUGUGAUGAUAUUGUGUUUUUUGUACAUAACAGACUUUUUAACAGACAAAUUUGUCGCAUUCUCCUACACCUCUUCACGGGCUCGCCACAGUAAAUAUUCUAUUUGGCGAGAGAUAAACUUUAUUGUAUUUAUCCUAGUGAAUCUAUAAUUAAACGGGUAAACUAGUAUUAGCACAUCCAACAUCAAAGAAAGUAAAAUGUUACUAUCAGGAGAGGGAGAAUGUUUAAGUGGUUAGCAGCAGUGUGCUAGCCGAUGGCCCCCUCCAUGAGGCCACCACAGCUCAGCAGAACAUCGUUGUAGCUUCUUCUGGGGAGAAAAACACUUGGAGAAAAAAUAAAGUUAACAGCUGAAAUAGCAGGAAAUAAUAGAGUUAAGGAGCAGAUUGUAGAAGAAAGAAACCCCUGGGUUAAACUGGUCUGUCUACUGCAUAAUGCUGAACUCUAACAUGUGUCCUCAGGGAAGGACCUGAUUGGUGUCCAGAACCUGUUGAAGAAGCACCAGGCUCUGCAGGCUGAGAUCACAGGUCAUGAACCUCGCAUCAAGGCUGUCACCCAGAAAGGAGAGACCAUGGUGGAGGAAGGUCACUUCGCUGGUGAGGAGGUGAAGACUAAGCUGUCAGAGCUUCAUGGACGUUGGGACACGCUAAAGGCCAAGGCGUCCCAGAGGAGGCAGGACCUGGAGGACUCUCUGCAGGCCCAGCAGUACUUUGCGGAUGCUAAUGAGGCCGAGUCCUGGAUGAGGGAGAAGGAGCCCAUCGUUGGAAGUCCAGACUAAGGGAAAGACGAGGACUUGGCCGAGGCUCUCCUGAAGAAGCACGAGGCCCUGAUGUCGGACCUGUCGGCUUAUGGCAGCAGCAUCCAGGCCCUGAAGGAGCAGGCCCAGUCCUGCAGGCAACAAGAUAAUCAGCAGGUGCUUUUGUCCUGCAGGACCUGAAGGCCAACGAGUCCCGCCUGAGGGACAUCAACAAGGUGGCAUCUGAACUGGAGUCAGAAGGUCUGAUGGCUGAGGAGGCUCCUAUGGUUCAGGCUCAGCAACAAGAACAUCUGGGUUCUGCUCCUGGAAAGGACGAAGCCGACUCUUAACACGGCGUCACCCUGGAAGACCGUACGGUUGGGCGUUCAGACGACGGCUAACUUUAAUUCCAUCAAGGUAAGAGGAAGCUCUUCCCUUCCUGUCUGAGCGAUCCGUCUCCAGGUUUCCUCGUCCGGCGUCCAGCCCGCUGGCGUCCACCUUCAUCUCAUCUCACUUCAUUUAUAGUGCAAUACUUUCACAUUAUCAUUUUCCCACACUUCUGUAUACCUGUAUUUUGUUGUUUUUCAAUAAAGAAUGACAAAUUA